UUUUGCUCUGCAAAUUUUGUGUUGGUGGAAGCAGCUCAGGCAAUCCAUCAUUUGUGCUUGGCGAUGCCAGUGGUAAAGUCGAUUCUUAGAAUGCAAAGGGACAGUGUUAUAGAAUGAGGAGCAAGGAUUUGUCAGCAGCCUUUGGAGGCUUUAGGGAGCCUCCAGCCAGGGUUAGUGCUGGUCUCAGAUGGGCAUUAGCAGGGAUGGAAGAAAGUGGACCCGCCAUUUCUUCAAUCUGUCCAGAGUUCGUCCUUCCUUCCUUCCUUCUUGGAUUAUUCUUGGUUACAUGCUUCUAUUAACAUAUUCCUUUUUCACGUGAGAGAUGAAGCUUUAGCUCUGCUAAACAACCAUACUCUCCUGAGACUGGUGGUACCCAAACCACUGAACCUGGAAGUUCAAUUGCUUAUCACAUAGGUAUCCCUUGAAAUUUUCUUCAGUCUUCUGGAAACCUAGUUCACUGUCCCAGCACACUUAGGCAGUGCACAAGGAAAGCUCCCACACAGAUGGAUGGCUUACCUCAACUUUGACCCUCUUGCCAAUAUCUUUAUCUUCUUUUUAGGAAUAAGUCUGUGUAGUAGGUUAAAUAAAAACCUUCCAAAAAUA